AAAACCGUUGGAAACGACGGCUAAUACCGAAUGCGGCGCCCGGAGACAUCUCCGGCGCGCUAAAGGGGGCCGCAAGGCUCCCCCGUCUUCGAGGGGCUCGCGCACCAUCAGCUUGUUGGCGGGUAACGGCCCACCAAGGCUCACGGUUAGCUGGUCUGAGAGGAUGGCCAGCCGCACUGGGACUGAGAUACUGCCCAGACUCCUACGGGAGGCUGCAGUCGAGGAUCAUUCGCAAUGGGGGAAACCCUGACGAUGCGACGCUGCGUGGAAGGAUGAAGGCCCUCGGGUCGUAAAACUCCUGUCAUGAGGGAAAAGGCGAAGGGACCCAACACGUCCCCUAGUUGAUGGUACCUCAAGAGGAACGGGCGGCUAACUCUGUGCCAGCAGCCGC
rnacentral:rRNA from 1 species